ACCAAUCUCAGUUCGGAUUGUAGGCUGCAACUCGCCUACAUGAAGUUGGAAUCGCUAGUAAUCGCGAAUCAGAAUGUCGCGGUGAAUACGUUCCCGGGUCUUGUACACACCGCCCGUCACACCACGAGAGUUUACAACACCCGAAGUCAGUGGCCUAACCGCAAGGAGGGAGCUGCCUAAGGUGGGGGUAGAUGAUUGGGGUGAAGUCGUAACAAGGUAUC
rnacentral:rRNA from 1 species